CGGAGACACACGUGACCCAGGACCAGACCCACUGUAACUGCGGCGAUGACUCAGACAUGUAGCUGAGCCACUGGGAAAAUGUGGCAAAAGCGGUUCCCGAAUUACUCCUGGCAGAUGACAUGACAUGACUGAAAACAAGAUUUCUGGAGUCCCUGCAGCUGCCGGUGAAGAAACAGAUCAUUCCUGGGACAUCUGGAGAGCAGCAAAAGAUGACUCGGUCUUCCA